AUUGAACGCUGGCGGCAGGCCUAACACAUGCAAGUCGAGCGGAUGAAGGGAGCUUGCUUCUGGAUUCAGCGGCGGACGGGUGAGUAAUGCCUAGGAAUCUGCCUGGCUGUGGUGUAUAACGUCCGGAAACGGGCGCUAAUACCGCAUACGUCCUGAGGGAGAAAGUGGGGGAUCUUCGGACCUUACGCUAUCAGAUGAGCCUAGGUCGGAUUAGCUAGUUGGUGGGGUAAAGGCCUACCAAGGCGACGAUCCGUAACUGGUCUGAGAGGAUGAUCAGUCACACUGGAACUGAGACACGGUCCAGACUCCUACGGGAGGCAGCAGUGGGGAAUAUUGGACAAAGGGCGAAAGCCUGAUCCAGCCAUGCCGCGUGUGUGAAGAAGGUCUUCGGAUUGUAAAGCACUUUUAGUUGGGAGGAAGGGCAGUAAGUUAAUACCUUGCUGUUUUGACGGUACCAACAGAAUAAGCACCGGCUAACUUCGUG
rnacentral:rRNA from 1 species